rnacentral:rRNA from 1 species
CCUACGGGGGGCAGCAGUGAGGAAUAUUGGUCAAUGGACGAGAGCCUGAACCAGCCAAGUCGCGUGAAGGAUGACUGCUCUAUGGGUUGUAAACCUCUUUUAUAUGGGAAUAAAAUGUUGGACGUGUGGGAUUUUGUAUGUACCUUAUGAAUAAGGAUCGGCUAACUCCGUGCCAGCAGCCGCGGUAAUACGGAGGAUCCGAGCGUUAUCCGGAUUUAUUGGGUUUAAAGGGUGCGUAGGUGGACUUUUAAGUCAGUUGUGAAAGUGUGCGGCUCAACCGUAGAAUUGCAGUUGAAACUGGGAGUCUUGAGUACAGUAGAGGUAGGCGGAAUGCGUGGUGUAGCGGUGAAAUGCUUAGAUAUCACGCAGAACCCCGAUUGCGAAGGCAGUUCACUAGGCUACAACUGACGCUGAGGCACGAAAGUGUGGGUAUCAAACAGGAUUAGAUACCCCAGUAGUC